AGGAAGCUAAACAAGAAUUACAGGAAGUUGUUGAAUUCUUGAAAAAUUCACAAAAAUUUACGGUUCUUGGAGGUAAACUUCUGAAAGGAAUUCUUUUAGUUGGACUCCCAGGGACUGGAAAGUCACUUCCUGAGCAGGAGAAGCUGAUGUUCCUUUUUAUUAUGCUUCUAGAUCCAAAUUUGAUGAGAUGUUUGUGGUGUGGGAGUCAGCAGUAUCAGAAAUCUUUUUAGUACAUUUUGAUGUAUCUUUCAUACAAUACUAAAUUUUGUUAAUUUUAAGGGAAGUGUGUAUCUUCCCUUUUCUUUGAUAAUUACUUUUCUUUUUCCUUUUUUUAAUUUCUAUUUUUUGGGGCCUCUAGCUUUGCAUGCUAAUUAGUUUUGAUAGCUAAAAUAGCAACUGUGGGAUCUUGAUUUGGAUAGCUUAAUAUAUGAAUUAUUGAAAGAGCUAGUGGAAGUGCAAAAUGAGGUUGGAGGCUACCAAAAAUCUCUUAGGUUUUUUUUUUUUUCAUUUUAUUCAUCAAUUUUAUAGUAUGGAAUUAGGGAGUAAUAAGCUUCAAACCUAAUUGUAUAUGAUAUUUGUAUAUCUAGGAAGAAUGAAUGCCUAAUUGCUUUUAUUUUAAAUCAUUUUCUUUGGUAUAGUUUUUUUUUUUUUUCCUCCCGAAGCUACUAUUCUUAAAUCAGUAAAAAUUGACCUCCUUUUGUGUAUUUUCUUACAAUGAAUAUUUUUGUUGGCUUUUGACAGUUUUAUAGAAUUUUAAUAUUUAUCUUGUUCAAAACUGUUAACUUCUUUCAGCUUAUUUGAAUCUUUUUUGUUGUCUUAGGGGAAGAAAUGCGAAUGUUCCUUGUGUUACAUUUAUUGAGGAAUUAGAUUCUGUUGGUGGGAAGAGAAUUGAAUCUCAAUGCAUCCAUAUUUAAGGCAGACCAUAAAUCAACUUCUUGCUGAAAUGGAUGGUUGUCAACCCAAUGAAGGACUUAUCAUAAUAGGAGCCACAAACUUCCCAGAGGCAUUAGAUAAGUAAGUAUUAAAAGAAGAUUUUUGUGAAGUGCUGUUUACAUGCUACAAAAUUAUGCUAAAAGAAGUCCAUUGCAAAACAUCAUAUUAUAUGAUUCCAUUUAUAGGCAAUGUCCAGAAUAAGAAAAUCCACAGAGACAAAUUAGAUUAGCUGUUACCAGAGGUUAGGGAGAGUGGCGAAUGGCUGCCACUUGAUAUGGGAUUUCUUUGUGGGGAUGGGAAUAUUCUAAAAUUAGAUUGUGCUGAUGGUUGUACAAUUCUGAAUAUAUUAAAAACCACUGAAGUAUCCACUUUAAAUUCUGUUAUGUGAAUUACAUCUCAAUAAAACUGUUAAAAUA